UACAAUAUCGACAGAACAGGGGAUAAGU
rnacentral:piRNA from 1 species